rnacentral:siRNA from 1 species
UAGAUCAUCAAUAGUGCUAUAUCC